rnacentral:rRNA from 1 species
AUUGAACGCUGGCGGCAUGCCUUACACAUGCAAGUCGAACGGCAACAGGUUAAGCUGACGAGUGGCGAACGGGUGAGUAAUGUAUCGGAACGUGCCCAGUCGUGAGGGAUAACUGCUCGAAAGAGCAGCUAAUACCGCAUACGACCUGAGGGUGAAAGCGGGGGAUCGCAAGACCUCGCGCGAUUGGAGCGGCCGAUAUCAGAUUAGGUAGUUGGUGAGGUAAAGGCUCACCAAGCCGACGAUCUGUAGCUGGUCUGAGAGGACGACCAGCCACACUGGGACGGAGACACGGCCCAGACUCCUACGGGAGGCAGCAGUGGGGAAUUUUGGACAAUGGGCGCAAGCCUGAUCCAGCCAUGCCGCGUGCGGGAAGAAGGCCUUCGGGUUGUAAACCGCUUUAGUCAGGGAAGAAAAGGUUCUGGCUAAUACCUGGGACUCAUGACGGUACCUGAAGAAUAAGCACCGGCUAACUACGUGCCAGCCGCCGCCGUAACAC